CGCGGGAUUAGAGUUUGAUCCUGGCUCAGGACGAACGCUGGCGGCGUGCUUAACACAUGCAAGUCAAGGGGGCCCAGCAAUGGGCAACCGGCGAACGGGUGCGUAACACGUGAGCAACCUACCGAAAUGCGGGGGAUAGCCGGCCUAACGGCCGAGUAAUACCGCAUACGCUCUCUAUGAGGCAUUUCAUGGAGAGGAAACCUACGGGGUAUUUCGAGGGGCUCGCGGCCUAUCAGCUAGUUGGCGAGGUAACGGCUCACCAAGGCAACGACGGGUAGCUGGUCUGAGAGGAUGGCCAGCCACAUUGGGACUGAGAUACGGCCCAGACUCCUACGGGAGGCAGCAGUGGGGAAUCUUGCGCAAUGGCCUAACGGCUGACGCAGCGACGCCGCGUGUGGGAUGAAGCUCCUCGGAGUGUAAACCACUGUUGCCCGGGACGAAUAGCUCGAUUAAUCGAGCCUGACGGUACCGGGUGAGGAAGCACCGGCUAACUCCGUGCCAGCAGCCGCGGUAAUACGGGGGGUGCGAGCGUUGUCCGGAAUCACUGGGCGUAAAGGGCGCGUAGGUGGUUUGAUAAGGGUGUGGUGAAAGUCCGGGGCUCAACCCCGGAUCUGCCGUGCCGACUGUCAAACUCGAGGACUGUAGAGGCAGACGGAAUUCCGGGUGUAGCGGUGGAAUGCGUAGAGAUCCGGAGGAAGACCAGUGGCGAAGGCGGUCUGCUGGGCAGUUUCUGACACUGAGGCGCGACAGCGUGNGGAGCAAACAGGAUUAGAUACCCUGGUAGUCCACGCCGUAAACGAUGGGUACUAGGUGCCUGGGGGAGCGACCCUCUGGGUGCCGGCGCUAACGCAGGAAGUACCCCGCCUGGGG
rnacentral:rRNA from 1 species